rnacentral:rRNA from 1 species
UACGAAGGGGGCUAGCGUUGCUCGGAAUGACUGGGCGUAAAGGGCGCGUAGGCGGAUGGCACAGUCAGAUGUGAAAUUCCCGGGCUUAACCUGGGGGCUGCAUUUGAUACGUGUGAUCUAGAGUGAGGAAGAGGGUCGUGGAAUUCCCAGUGUAGAGGUGAAAUUCGUAGAUAUUCGGAAGAACACCAGUGGCGAAGGCGGCUCACUGGACCGGCAUUGACGCUGAGGUGCGAAAGCGUGGGGGAGCAAACAGG